rnacentral:rRNA from 1 species
UUUUAUGGAGAGUUUGAUCCUGGCUCAGGAUGAACGCUGGCGGCGUGCCUAAUACAUGCAAGUCGAGCGAACGGACGAGAAGCUUGCUUCUCUGAUGUUAGCGGCGGACGGGUGAGUAACACGUGGAUAACCUACCUAUAAGACUGGGAUAACUUCGGGAAACCGGAGCUAAUACCGGAUAAUAUUUUGAACCGCAUGGUUCAAAAGUGAAAGACGGUCUUGCUGUCACUUAUAGAUGGAUCCGCGCUGCAUUAGCUAGUUGGUAAGGUAACGGCUUACCAAGGCAACGAUGCAUAGCCGACCUGAG